AUUGAACGCUGGCGGCAUGCCUUACACAUGCAAGUCGAACGGCAGCACGGGAGCAAUCCUGGUGGCGAGUGGCGAACGGGUGAGUAAUAUAUCGGAACGUGCCCGGUCGUGGGGAUAACGUAGCGAAAGCUACGCUAAUACCGCAUACGAUCUACGGAUGAAAGCGGGGGAUCGCAAGACCUCGCGCGAUUGGAGCGGCCGAUAUCAGAUUAGGUAGUUGGUGAGGUAAAGGCUCACCAAGCCGACGAUCUGUAGCUGGUCUGAGAGGACGACCAGCCACACUGGGACUGAGACACGGCCCAGACUCCUACGGGAGGCAGCAGUGGGGAAUUUGGACAAUGGGCGCAAGCCUGAUCCAGCAAUGCCGCGUGCAGGAUGAAGGCCUU
rnacentral:rRNA from 1 species